CUGCUUUUGGGAUCUCUCAUGCUAGAAAAGCACCUCUGCACAGGUCUGGGAAGUGAGAGGAGGGUCAGCAAGACAGAGAACGGGUGCUGGAAGGGGAUGAUUAAGUCAGUGGUUCUCAACCAUGACUGAACAUUAGAAUCACUAAGAAAGCCUUAACAAAUAAUGAUGCCUGGAACCAUUCCUAGAUAUUAUAUUUAAUUGGUCUGGGACAUGACCUGGGCAGCAACAUGGAAAAAUCUCCCAGGUGAAUCUAAUGUACAAUCAGGGCUGAGAACCACUGAUUAAGCCCAUAUGGUUGUGCUCAGCAAGUGGCAAGAGAUUGAGGAGCUGGGCUCAAUCUUCACUCUGGGCUUGAGAGGAGCAGAGCCCUGACCUCCUUUCCCCAACUAGCCAUUUCCAGAGCUGCUUUAAAAUAAGCUCUUGGAAGGAGUUCUGGUUCAGCAGGCUUUCUGGUUAGUAUGGAUCCAUCUCUAGAGGCCAACUCAAAGGUAAAGGAUUUGAGGAUUUUUUUUUUUUGUCUUAAAAUGGAUCUAUCCUCAAGAAAACAUGGGGUGCUUUCGGAGAAUUCAACCCAGAAGUUUGCCUGCUGCUGCCACUGGGUCUUUGUGGGAUGCCUCUGGCUGCUUGAGGAAACCUACAGAUGAGGACUUUGUGAAGGUGGAGGGUGGUUUCCAGAACUUGGUACUAACCUUGUAUUUCCUGAGGCCUAGACCCCUACUUCUACUCUCGUGAAGGUGCUAUUGAAAUUGAGUGCUGAAGAGGCACUAUGGAAGUACCUACUGUGGACCAAAGACUGGGGAAGCCACAGGGCAGAGUGAGCCUCCCAGACCUAGUUCCUGCCCUUGGCCCUGAAAAAUUGCCUGCCAUUCUCAGGGAGAGAGUAUACAAAUUGGACUCCAGUGGUGGCCAGCACCGGGUGUUGGAUGAGCCUCUGACAGGGGAUAUGAAUCUUGGCUCCAGGUGCCUGUGAAGGAUGGUGGGGCUGACAAGCCUACAUCAAACACGCCUCUGUUCUGGGGGAGCCAUCACUCACCUCUCUGAACUCUCCAGGCACAUGCUAAUGAGGGCCCAGCUCCUGUAACAUCCCUGCCCAAAGGCUGGGGGUGGAGAGGGGGCUUGGCCUCUUGGUGGACCUAGAAAGGGCAGCCCUUGGAAUUGUGAGAAAGGCAGCACCUCGCUGUAUCCUUCCUACUUUUUAGUCAGUCUCCACUUAUAGGGGCCUUUUUCCUCUCUGCCUCCAUUUCACCUUGGCCAGUUCAUUUAUCCUGCCUAGGGCAUGGACUCCCUUCCCGAAUAACUAACUUAAUGCUCUUUUAAGAAUUGUAUGUGUUACUCAUUCCUCUUGGUGGCUUUCAUGUUCACAUGGAGACCCCAGACACAGGACAAAUGCUUAACCUAAGGAACAAAUGGCUGAUUGUCACAUUUCAGAGAACUGGUGGGAAAUUAUCUUGAGAGCCCUUGUGAACACAGAGGUUCCCUUUUUACUAACAGGUGGCCCUGUCAGCUGAGGGGCAACCGAACACACCCGGUGACCAUGGUGAUGAUGGCAAAUUAACAUCUAUUAAGUGCCUGCCAGGUGCUAUUAACAGCAUCACAUCCGUAAACUCAUUCCUUCUGUCAGCUCCAUGGUGGACACAAUGAUUAUUCAGAAACAAAAAAACCAGGGCUCAGAGAGGUUAAAAACUCACCCAUGUAGCUAAGAGGCAUUGCUGAAAGAUGCUCCAGAAAUUCUGCCUUUUCAUAACAAAAAUGUGGAGGCUUAGUUCACUCGGAUAUCACUUCCUUUGUGAGGCAUUCCCCAAAUCCCACCCAAUCCCCUAGUCAUGUGGAGUUUAAGAGCAAGGGACUUAAGACUUGAGUUUGAAUCCUGUCUUUGACAGGUACAAGCUAUGUGAUCUAAGGCAAAUUCUGUAACUUCUCUGAGACUGCUUCCUACUUUAUACAGGGGGAUCAAGCUGACCAGACAGCUGUGAGGGUUAAAUGGGAGGAUGCAGGCAGAGCCCAGUCCCCACACCUGCUUCUGGUACAGGAUGGGCCCCAGGCAACCCACCUCCCCCACUCCCAAAUGUUUUAUGCACAUGUUCAUCUUCCCCUUAAGACUGAGUAUCUGGGGGGCAAAUUCCAUAUGUUACUCAUCUUUGAAAAUAGGUCCCGUAGAACUUUGGAUAGAGUUAAUCAAAUCAGGUGACUAGAAUUGGGAUAAUAACAGCAACUAACACUUAUUAAAUCUGAGUCUUUCUAAGCACCCGGCCGCAUAGGUAUUCUCGUGCCUGUU